AUGGACUCAUGGUCAGACAGCAAACUGAUUCUGGACCGGUUCCGAUCCGGCUGUACUUUCACUUCUUACAGAUCCAUAAAACAGACCCGGGUCGGAGUCCACUUGCACAGCGGAUUGAUGCCACCCACCAAAAACUCCAAGUAGUGGAAACCUGAGCCCUCCCUUCCCGCCCCGUUCACCUCCCUCUACUACAGGCUCCAGUCUCAUUCCAGUUUCUCUGAAGCCUUCAUUUAGAAUAGAUAAACUUUUAUUGGUCAUCCUGUCGUGUUUCUCUUCCUGUGUCUUCAUCUGGACCGGAGCUGGUAAUCAGACGGCAGCAGGUUGAGCUGGACGCCGUCUGUCUCUGUUCUGUGUUUAUCGCCUGAUCGGUUUGUAACGUCUGCUAAACGCUCUGCUACAGAAACUAGCUCUGCUACAGAAACUAGCUCUGCUACAGAAACUAGCUCUGCUACAGAAACUAGCUCUGCUAAUAUUUGUUUUAUGCAUCACCGGGAGUUUGGAUCUGGUUAGUUUUCAUUAGGCAACCGGAGAAGUGAGUCUGCUGGCUGCAGGAAAGCUGCUAUUAUUAUUAUUAUUUUUUUUAAUCAAGCUCUUUGGGCUCUGUCCUUCUUGCCUCUGCAGGUUUGGCGGGAAAGAACUGUUCAGGCAUGCUUUGUGUGGCAGGCCAUCUUAACAGAAAAUCUGAAGCAUCACACUCACAUUCCAGAUUUCAAAUUAGUUUAUCACCGGAUAUAACAAUUAAGAUAUCUCUGAUUAUAUAUUGACUAGAUAAAAUACGUAUUUGAGACAUUUCUAAUUAUAUUCUGACUUGUAUAAAUGAUAUCAGAAUUACCAUUAAGUUGUAAAUUCAAGAAAUCUCACUUUUUUGUUCUGGUAAUUCUGAUUAAGUACAUCUUAAAUGACACCAGAAUUCAACAUAUACUAAAUUAAUUUGUAUAUAGGAGACAUAAGAUUCAACUAGUGAAAAUUAAAUUAUGUCUGAAUGAUUUGGAGAUGUCUCGAACGUUUUUUAAUCUAGGUGGCUUUUCUAUUUCAGAUAUUUUGAAUAAUUAUUCUGUCUAGACAAAACAUCCCAAGUUUACUUAGAAUUUAAAAAUCUCAAUGGCAAAACGUUUUGGAAAUGCUCCAGUUUUAGCUUGGGAAUGGGGCGGCAGUAGAACCUUUGGUUCUUCAAAGCCGUUUUAAGUUGGAAACUCUUGGCAGAUUUCUGAAACAGUCUUUAAGUUUGUGAAGUUCACGUUAACAGCUCUUUGUAUUUUUCUUUUGGCAUUUUCUGACAGUUUUUUGCAGGACCUCCAAAAUUCUUCAGGCAGCUGUUUGGACAGCUUGGUGACGUCACCACAGCUAUGUAAAAAUGCCAUUUUGACCAGUCACAGUUACGAUCAACAUAAAUAGUGAUUACGGAUGUCGGACCCUUCAAAUAAACCUGGUGACGUCAUGGAAGAUAUUUUGAAAGGCAUUUUGUUUUGUCAAAACUUCUUUCAUUUUUCUUCCUAGUCAGAAUAUGAAUGUAGAUAUCUUAAAAUGCCAGGUAUAAAAUACAGUUGUGUCUAAAACUCAUCCUUGGAUAUUUGUAAUCACCUUCCAGAUAGUCAGAGGAAACUGAUUACAUGUUAAAACUGCCUGCCAUAUCCGUGGCUGGUUGGUCUGACGGCUCGGAUUUGGGGAUUUGUGGGAGCAGAGAUAGGAAUCGUCAUUUCUAACAUUUGUUUUCUGUAUUUUCUCUGCAGCUGGGAUUUUCCAGUGUGUUUUCCUCCUUGGUGGUGGCAUCCAGUGCUGUCUAAGGCAUUACAUUCUCUGUCUCUAUAGCGCCCUCUAUGGCAAUGGAGGAAUCCUGUUUCCUGUGUGACGUGACCUUUUCAAUCUGGGUCUUUCACUUUCUAUGCAACUUUUUAAGCUGGCUUAUAAUUCGCUUUAAAUAAACUUUGUAAGUAAGGAUGGAACCAUGACUCUUGUCUUUUUAAUUGAAAUUUACACAAGAGCCGUUAUUGAGGGUUGCUGUAGUAAAAGGAGCAGAUUAGAAAUAGCAAUAAUUUAAAAAAUAUAUUUUUAUCGUUAAAUGAUAAAAAAAAAAAAA